UCCUGAUGCAAAGAAUGCUCUUUAUCAGGCAACUAUCAAGCAAGGGGACUUCUUGUUGAAUCGCAUUCAAAAGCUUUCUCGUGUCAUUGAUCUCUGAAGCCGUUAAACCGUGCGUUAUACUUGUUUUCUCUUCAACUCUCUGUAGCUCUAAUAUUGAUAUAUUCUGCCUUUUCAUAUUGAACUCUUGGGGGAGUAUUAUUUUAGUAAUUUUCUGAAAUCAAAGAGAUUUUCUGUGUUGGGAUAGCUCUUAUAUUUGGACAAGCAUUGCAUCUUUUGAAAUGUUACUUCCUAUUUAAGUUUGUG
rnacentral:misc_RNA from 1 species